rnacentral:rRNA from 1 species
CACGUAGGGCGCAAGCGUUGUCCGGAAUUAUUGGGCGUAAAGAGCUCGUAGGUGGUUUGUUACGUCUGCUGUGAAAUCCUAGGGCUUAACCCUGGGCUUGCAGUGGAUACGGGCAGACUAGAGGUAGGUAGGGGAGAAUGGAAUUCCUGGUGUAGCGGUGAAAUGCGCAGAUAUCAGGAGGAACACCGGUGGCGAAGGCGGUUCUCUGGGCCUUACCUGACGCUGAGGAGCGAAAGCAUGGGGGAGCGAACAGG